AAGUCGUAACAAGGUUUCCGUAGGUGAACCUGCGGAAGGAUCAUUAACAAAUCAUGAAUGUGGUGUGUCUGGAAAAGGUCUGAAAGGACCCUACCCUUCACAUCCAUAUAUCAACCCGAACCUGUGCCUUUAUAGGCCAGGCUAGGUGUGGGUUGUCCUCUAUGUCCUCUUCGGAGGCUUAAGGACUGCUCGCGGUGAAGACGCAAGUCGGAUCCACAUAGACGCUUGUUUUUGUUUGACAGAUUUCAAUUGUAUCCAAAUUAAAUGACAACUUUUAACAAUGGAUCUCUUGGCUCUU
rnacentral:misc_RNA from 1 species